AGCGAACGCUGGCGGCAGGCCUAACACAUGCAAGUCGAACGGAUCCUUCGGGAUUAGUGGCGGACGGGUGAGUAACACGUGGGAACGUGCCCUUUGGUUCGGAACAACUCAGGGAAACUUGAGCUAAUACCGGAUGUGCCCCUCGGGGGAAAGAUUUAUCGCCAUUGGAGCGGCCCGCGUCUGAUUAGCUAGUUGGUGAGGUAACGGCCCACCAAGGCGACGAUCAGUAGCUGGUCUGAGAGGAUGAUCAGCCACACUGGGACUGAGACACGGCCCAGACUCCUACGGGAGGCAGCAGUGGGGAAUCUUGCGCAAUGGGCGAAAGCCUGACGCAGCCAUGCCGCGUGAAUGAUGAAGGUCUUAGGAUUGUAAAAUUCUUUCAGCGGGGACGAUAAUGACGGUACCCGCAGAAGAAGCUCCGGCUAACUUCGUG
rnacentral:rRNA from 1 species